GAUGAACGCUGGCGGCGUGCCUAAUACAUGCAAGUCGAGCGAACGGACGAGAAGCUUGCUUCUCUGAUGUUAGCGGCGGACGGGUGAGUAACACGUGGAUAACCUACCUAUAAGACUGGGAUAACUUCGGGAAACCGGAGCUAAUACCGGAUAAUAUUUUGAACCGCAUGGUUCAAAAGUGAAAGACGGUCUUGCUGUCACUUAUAGAUGGAUCCGCGCUGCAUUAGCUAGUUGGUAAGGUAACGGCUUACCAAGGCAACGAUGCAUAGCCGACCUGAGAGGGUGAUCGGCCUCACUGGAACUGAGACACGGUCCAGACUCCUACGGGAGGCAGCAGUAGGGAAUCUUCCGCAAUGGGCGAAAGCCUGACGGAGCAACGCCGCGUGAGUGAUGAAGGUCUUCGGAUCGUAAAACUCUGUUAUUAGGGAAGAACAUAUGUGUAAGUAACUGUGCACAUCUUGACGGUACCUAAUCAGAAAGCCACGGCUAACUACG
rnacentral:rRNA from 1 species